rnacentral:rRNA from 1 species
AUUGAACGCUGGCGGCAGGCCUAACACAUGCAAGUCGAGCGGGGACUUCGGUCUUAGCGGCGAACGGGUGAGUAAUGCUUGGGAAUCUGCCCAGUAGUGGGGGAGAACGUCCCGAAAGGGACGCUAAUACCGCCUACGACCUACGGGAGAAAGAGGGGGAUCUUCGGACCUCUCGCUAUUGGAUGAGCCCAAGUCGGAUUAGCUAGUUGGUAGGGUAAUGGCCUACCAAGGCGACGAUCCGUAGCUGGUCUGAGAGGAUGAUCAGCCACACUGGAACUGAGACACGGUCCAGACUCCUACGGGAGGCAGCAGUGGGGAAUAUUGGACAAUGGGCGAAAGCCUGAUCCAGCCAUGCCGCGUGUGUGAAGAAGGCCUUCGGGUUGUAAAGCACUUUAAGCGGGGAGGAAGGUCCGCGGCCUAAUACGUCGCGGAAUUGACGUUACCCGCAGAAUAAGCACCGGCUAACUCCGUG